AGUGAACGCUGGCGGUAGGCCUAACACAUGCAAGUCGAACGGCAGCACAGGAGAGCUUGCUCUCUGGGUGGCGAGUGGCGGACGGGUGAGGAAUACAUCGGAAUCUGCCCAGUCGUGGGGGAUAACGUAGGGAAACUUACGCUAAUACCGCAUACAACCUUCGGGGGAAAGAGGGGGAUCGCAAGACCUCUCGCGAUUGGAUGAGCCGAGGUCGGAUUAGCUAGUUGGCGGGGUAAUGGCCCACCAAGGCGACGAUCCGUAGCUGGUCUGAGAGGAUGAUCAGCCACACUGGAACUGAGACACGGUCCAGACUCCUACGGGAGGCAGCAGUGGGGAAUAUUGGACAAUGGGCGCAAGCCUGAUCCAGCCAUACCGCGUGGGUGAAGAAGGCCUUCGGGUUGUAAAGCCCUUUUGUUGGGAAAGAAAUCUUUCAGGCUAAUACCCUGGGAGGAUGACGGUACCCAAAGAAUAAGCACCGGCUAACUUCGUG
rnacentral:rRNA from 1 species